rnacentral:piRNA from 1 species
UUCUGCAUAUAGAGCAGUGGUCC